AAUUCGACCUCAGUAACGUGAUCUACGAAGUCCGAUCUACGUUUCUACCAAUCGUUUUGAGGCUUUGUGUUAUUUGGAGCUUGUAAAGAUUCUCCAAACACCAAGUAUUAUUUGGGUAAAUUUUUGGUAAUGCAUUGCAUGGUGGUGUCUAGGAGACCUAGUACUUAAUAUCCGCACAUCCAAGGUGAGUAUUCUACUCACUGAGAAGUUUUAUUUUCAUAUAUGAUGAAUUGCAAAAUGUAUAUUGUUUUACAAACCUGAACCAACUGUAUGUUGAUUAUGAUAUGUUUUGGAUGAUUUGAGUACUUUUGAGUAUAUUGAGAUUAUGAUGAUGUUUUGAAGUACAAAUAUGAUAUGUGAUUUUAGAGUGAGUAUAAGUUGAAUAUUUAAGUUAUGCAAAUUGUCUAAGAAAUGAUAUGUUAAAUUGUUUAUGGAUUUAAAAAGAAAGCAUGUAUUAAAAGGCAUAGUUCUUGAAAAGCAAAGUUAUAUGGUUUUGAGCAUAGGAUUAAAGACCAAUGGGCUAGCAUCCCCUACGGCAUAGGAUUAAAGACCAAUGGGCUUGCAUCCC